GAGUUUGAUCCUGGCUCAGGAUGAACGCUAGCUACAGGCUUAACACAUGCAAGUCGAGGGGCAGCAUGAGGUCAGCUUGCUGACUUUGAUGGCGACCGGCGCACGGGUGAGUAACGCGUAUCCAACCUGCCCAUAACUAAGGGAUAAUCCGUAGAAAUGCGGUCUAAUACCUUAUGUUGUCCGAGGAAGACAUCUGAUUCGGACGAAAGAUUUAUCGGUUAUGGAUGGGGAUGCGUCUGAUUAGCUUGUUGGCGGGGUAACGGCCCACCAAGGCGACGAUCAGUAGGGGUUCUGAGAGGAAGGUCCCCCACAUUGGAACUGAGACACGGUCCAAACUCCUACGGGAGGCAGCAGUGAGGAAUAUUGGUCAAUGGACGAGAGUCUGAACCUGCCAAGUAGCGUGCAGGAUGACGGCCCUAUGGGUUGUAAACUGCUUUUAUACGGGGAUAAAAGAUGUCACGUGUGACAUUUUGCAGGUACCGUAUGAAUAAGGACCGGCUAAUUCCGUGCCAGCAGCCGCGGUAAUACGGAAGGUCCGGGCGUUAUCCGGAUUUAUUGGGUUUAAAGGGAGCGUAGGCUGCCGGUUAAGUGUGUUGUGAAAUGCAGGCGCUCAACGUCUGCCUUGCAGCGCAUACUGUCCGGCUUGAGUACGCGCAACGUUGGCGGAAUUCGUCGUGUAGCGGUGAAAUGCUUAGAUAUGACGAAGAACUCCGAUUGCGAAGGCAGCUGACGGGAGCGUUACUGACGCUGAAGCUCGGAAGUGCGGGUAUCGAACAGGAUUAGAUACCCUGGUAGUCCGCACGGUAAACGAUGGAUGCCCGCUGUUUGUCCUCAAGGAUAAGCGGCCAAGCGAAAGCAUUAAGCAUCCCACCUGGGGAGUACGCCGGCAACGGUGAAACUCAAAGGAAUUGACGGGGGCCCGCACAAGCGGAGGAACAUGUGGUUUAAUUCGAUGAUACGCGAGGAACCUUACCCGGGCUUGAAUUGCAGGAGAACGAUCCAGAGAUGGUGAGGUCCUUCGGGACUCCUGUGAAGGUGCUGCAUGGUUGUCGUCAGCUCGUGCCGCGAGGUGUCGGCUUAAGUGCCAUAACGAGCGCAACCCCUCUCUUCAGUUGCCAUCAGGUAAUGCUGGGCACUCUGGAGAUACUGCCACCGCAAGGUGUGAGGAAGGUGGGGAUGACGUCAAAUCCGCACGGCCCUUACGUCCGGGGCUACACACGUGUUACAAUGGUGGGUACAGAGUGUCGGGGGUAUGCAAAUGCCCUCCAAUCAUGAAAACCCUCCUCAGUUCGGACUGGGGUCUGCAACCCGGCCCCACGAAGCUGGAUUCGCUAGUAAUCGCGCAUCAGCCAUGGCGCGGUGAAUACGUUCCCGGGCCUUGUACACACCGCCCGUCAAGCCAUGAAAGCCGGGGGUGCCUGAAGUCCGUGACCGCAAGGAUCGGCCUAGGGCAAAACUGGUAAUUGGGGCUAAGUCGUAACAAGGUAGCCGUA
rnacentral:rRNA from 1 species